CAUUCUCGAUGGCUUGUGGUGUCACGUACUUCAAAGAUAAGGACAAAAAAAGGUUAUCUUUUCUUAGGACACAGAAUUCAGACUUUUGAGAACUCGGUCUAUUUUUACGGUUAUUUUUCACAUUUUCCGAAUGGAAAUUUAACUUGAAAGUAUUAGGGAUCUCCGAGGGCUGUUUAGUUUGAAAGAAAAUCUACUUGAAGCUGAAAAAUUCGUCAUUAAGUAGAUGAUUCUAUCGACCGGAAGCUCAUGUCGACCGAAUGACCUACAGGCCAUAAAGCAGAACGUAUGUCAAUUACCGUGAAAACGUCUUUUUUGCUUCAUCCGUGUACGUGCAGUUUCGGGAGUGUUCGUUUUUUUCUAAAAUUGCGAUUCUUUAAUUUUUUAUUUUUUUUAAUAGCCUAAUUUUUUUCGGGAGUGAUGAAGCUGAAACUGGCACUCAGUUAUCA